CCUACGGGCGGCAGCAGUGGGGAAUAUUGCACAAUGGGGGAAACCCUGAUGCAGCGACGCCGCGUGAGUGAAGAAGUAUUUCGGUACGUAAAGCUCUAUCAGCAGGGAAGAAAAUGACGGUACCUGACUAAGAAGCCCCGGCUAACUACGUGCCAGCAGCCGCGGUAAUACGUAGGGGGCAAGCGUUAUCCGGAUUUACUGGGUGUAAAGGGAGCGUAGACGGCAGCGCAAGUCUGGAGUGAAAUCCCAUGGCUUAACCAUGGAACUGCUUUGGAAACUGUGCAGCUAGAGUGCAGGAGAGGUAAGCGGAAUUCGUAGUGUAGCGGUGAAAUGCGUAGAUAUUAGGAGGAACACCAGUGGCGAAGGCGGCUUACUGGCCUGUAACUGACGUUGAGGCUCGAAAGCGUGGGGAGCAAACAGGAUUAGAUACCCGUGUAGUC
rnacentral:rRNA from 1 species